rnacentral:tRNA from 4 species
GGAUCCUAAUUUAGACUAUUGUUCG